GAUGAACGCUAGCGGCAGGCCUAAUACAUGCAAGUCGAACGCGGGGUAGCAAUACCUCGAGUGGCGCACGGGUGCGUAACGCGUAACCAACCUGCCCUUGACUGGGGGAUAGCCCGCCGAAAGGCGGAUUAAUACCGCAUAAACCAGCAGCCUGGCAUCAGGCAACUGGUAAAGAUUUAUUGGUCAAGGAUGGGGUUGCGUGACAUUAGCUAGUUGGCGGGGUAACGGCCCACCAAGGCGACGAUGUCUAAGGGACCUGGGAGGGUGAUCCCCCACACCGGAACUGAGGUACGGGCCAGACUCCUACGGGAGGCAGCAGUAGGGAAUAUUGGGCAAUGGGCGAGAGCCUGACCCAGCCAUGCCGCGUGCCGGAUGAAGGCCUUCUGGGUUGUAAACAGCUUUUCUCAGGGAAGAAAACGACCAUGCGUGGUACACUGACGGUACCUGAGGAAUAAGCACCGGCUAACUCCGUGCCAGCCGCCGCCGUAACAC
rnacentral:rRNA from 1 species